rnacentral:ncRNA from 2 species
CUUUGCAGAAAGCAGAUAGGUAUGGUCACUUGUGUACGAUGAGUGGCUAUUUAAUAGGGAAUUUGGUGAGAAUCCAAAACAGUUCCUGCUACCGUAAUGUCUUGAGGAGGUAGGUUGCCUCCGCCUUUCAGAUAUUCUCUGAAGCCACUGGAUUUACUCUGGGAAGGCUUUUCUAUUGAAAGGGAUAAGACUAAGUCGGGAGACCUGCCUACUUGCCUAGUAUUUU